UGGGAUGACUUCAGGAAACUGGGGCUAAUACCGGAUAGGAGCUCCUGCUGCAUGGUGGGGGUUGGAAAGUUUCGGCGGUUGGGGAUGGACUCGCGGCUUAUCAGCUUGUUGGUGGGGUAGUGGCUUACCAAGGCUUUGACGGGUAGCCGGCCUGAGAGGGUGACCGGCCACAUUGGGACUGAGAUACGGCCCAG
rnacentral:rRNA from 1 species